rnacentral:misc_RNA from 1 species
UAACCCCUCAAGCUCAGCUUGGUGUUGGGGCCUGCCAACUGGCAGCCCUUAAAAUCAGUGGCGGCGCCAUCUGGCUCUAAGCGUAGUAAUUUCUCUCGCUAUAGGGUCCCGGUGGACGCUGGCCAGCAACCCCCAAUUUUCUAU